rnacentral:ncRNA from 1 species
ACGACCUGCUCGUGAUCGUCUUCUCAACCUUCACCGGGCAGGCGGAUGAAGGAAGGCCCCCCGUGAGGACAUGGCUCACGGGGGGCCUUC